UAGCCAUGAUGAGGGCAUGUUAGUAAGAGUUCUUUGAAUAUCUCCCAGAAUUGUGAAAAUAUUUCAUCUUCUUUCUGGGAGAAGUUCAUGAUAGCACGCCUAAGCAU